GAUGAACGCUGGCGGCGUGCCUAAUACAUGCAAGUCGAGCGAACAGACGAGGAGCUUGCUCCUUUGACGUUAGCGGCGGACGGGUGAGUAACACGUAGGUAACCUACCUAUAGGACUGGGAUAACUUCGGGAAACCGGAGCUAAUACCGGAUAAUAUUUCGAACCGCAUGGUUCGAUAGUGAAAGAUGGCUUUGCUAUCACUUAUAGAUGGACCUGCGCCGUAUUAGCUAGUUGGUAAGGUAACGGCUUACCAAGGCAACGAUACGUAGCCGACCUGAGAGGGUGAUCGGCCACACUGGAACUGAGACACGGUCCAGACUCCUACGGGAGGCAGCAGUAGGGAAUCUUCCGCAAUGGGCGAAAGCCUGACGGAGCAACGCCGCGUGAGUGAUGAAGGUCUUCGGAUCGUAAAACUCUGUUAUUAGGGAAGAACAAACGUGUAAGUAACUGUGCACGUCUUGACGGUACCUAAUCAGAAAGCCACGGCUAACUACGUG
rnacentral:rRNA from 1 species